CAUUAGGUUAUUGUGGAGAUAAAGUUCUCUCAAGGAUGACAAGUUCCCAAUGGACUCCGGGAUUGAACCCCGGAACAAGUUUCCCCACAGUUGAAGAAUCUUGAGGUUUUCCAAUUGUCCGAGAGAAUUGGGAAGGAAUCCACCCAGGUUAUUUUGCCCCAAAUCCAGUGACUCCAAGCUACUGUUGGCACAUUUAGACAAACGAUCUACGAAUUCAAUUAUCUCACCAUCCAAGUCAUUACCAGAAAGAUCAAGAUCCCACAAGUUGCAGAGACUUCCCAAAUCUUUCGGUAUCUGACCCCCAAUAAGUGAGUUCUCAGACAAAUCAAGCUCGCGGAGGCUAGUCAUAUUGGCAAAUGCAUCUGGAAUAUUGCCUUGGAGAUUGUUUGCGCUGAGAUCAAGAUGUGCAAGCUUACUAAUGUUGAGCAACCACUGGGGUAUUGAUGAAUUGAAAUCAUUGCUGGAGAGAUCAAGAAAUAAGAGGGAAGAAAAGUUGACCACUGAAAGGGGAGGGAAUUCGAAUAACCCGCAAGCUGGUAGGUGCAACUCAGAAAGAGAAGGAAGCAUAUUAGUGGCUUGAACCCAACUGCUUCCAGCCUUGCUGAGAUCCACACCUUCCAAAUUAAGGUAUUGUAAAGAGGAAAGCCUGCUGAGCCACUCCACGUCAUCACUUUCUAGCGACGAAUAGUAAAAUGUGUUGAGAUCAAGAAUCUGCAAGCUCGAAAGAUUCCCAAAACUCGGAGGAAUAUUUCCAGCAAAGGAUGCACCAGAGAGAUUGAGAUACCUCAGCUUCUCUAGUGAACCGAGAAAGUUUGGAAUUCUACUUCCUCGGAAAUUGUUUAAGCUCAAGUCUAAGUAAUUUAAGUGCUUCAAAUCAAGCACAGAUGGACUGAUCUCACCUUCUAGUUGAUAAGUUGUUCCAUUGUCCGUAAAACUGUCAGGAAUCUCGGGACUCCGUAGUUUGAGCUGAACAACUUUUCCUGUGCUGUUGUCACAGAUUACACCUUCCCAUUUGCAGCAGUCUUCUCCAGUCCACGAAGAGAGUCGACCUGAGGGAUCUGUUACGCUCGCUUUGAUCUUCAGAAGCGCUUCUUUCUCAUUCUGCACGCAACGAGCAAUACUCUGGCAAGUGCUGAGCCUGACGGAGUUGAAAAACAAGAAUCCUGAGAGAAGAACGAGAAAGACGGGCUGAAUGUAUUGGUUGUUUGCCAUGUUUGUUGCCAUGUAUUGGUUUUUUGUUGAAGCAGCGUUUGUAUUUAUUUGUCCAUGGCAGCUUGACUUUCAUGACUGUUUUGAAAAAGGUUGACUUUCAUAACAAAUAUGGGUUGGAUCUAUUCUGAUUUAAAUUCAGAUCUAUAAUAAAAAUUAAGAUCUAUAUUUACUCCAGAUCAUUGAAUAUUUAGAUUUAAAAAAGAAAUAAAUAUCUGUAUAUGCUCAAACAAAAAAAAAUUAAAAUCUAAAUUUACUUCAUAUACAUCAUGAAUUCUAAAACUUAACAAUAAAAGAGUAAUAAUUUUUUUAAAUGAAAAUUAAUGACUAAAAUGUAAUGAUAACAAUUAAAUUAUAUAAUUUGUUUCAAAAAUAUAAUAAAUAUUGUAGUUUAUACUUUUACACCAAAUCACGCAAAUAACAAAGAUAAUAAAAUAUCUUUCAAAAGUGAUUGAAGUAAUAAGAUCAAUCUAAUAUUUUACUGUUGGUGAGGAACAUUAUGAAACGGCGCAAAGAGUUAAGCAAACUUUACAACGUUACAAAGAACUUCAGGACAUUAUAGCUAUCCUUGGGUUGGACGAACUCUCCGAAGAGGAUCGUUUAACUGUAGUAAGGGCGCGAAAAAUUGGGUGUUUCUUAUCCCAACCCUUUUUCGUAGGCGAAGUUUUUACCCGUUCCUCGGGGAAAUAUGUUGGUCUAGCCGAAAUCCUGCAAAAAAGAAUAGAAGACAUGCUUACCGCAGUCCAGCCAUACGAAAAGAAGAGAAGAGCCAAGAUUGUACAUCAACUUACCGAACGAUUGAAUCGUUAUCUGAGAUUUAUGAGGAAGAAGCGGGAGGCCUACUAUCUCCUUCAUCAUUCUGAUAUCAACUACACACCCACCAUCAUUCCAACAAGAUAGAUAAUGACAUAUAAAUUAAAUAUGAUUUAUAUUCAAUGCUUUAUUUUUUUUAUUAUGAACAUAUUUAACUACAUAUAUGAAUAACUAUAUUCCUUAAAAAUUAUUUGGCCAAUAUAAUAAAAUAAAUUGCCAUGCAUUAUUACUUGACUUGCAAUUGGAAUAUUGCAUGUGCAUGCUUUAGGGCUAGUUGACUUUAAUUAUUUUUGUCUUAUUAUUAUUAUUAUUUAAAUUUACAAAACUAACCUUUAAGUUUUAAAAUUUUAAAUACAUAGUAAAUACCAUUAAUAAGUCUAAUAUGCUAUGCAUGAAAUUUAUUAUCAUUUAUAAUUACACAAUUCUUAAGAAGUUUUUAAAAUAAAAUAAAAUUAAAAGAUAGGUGUAUAUGGAUAUGAAUCUAGAUAUUAAAAUAGAUCCAGACUAGCUCCAAAUCUGUCUUAGAUCCACACAUUGAUAUUCAAAUUCGAUCCAAAUCCAUUCUAAACUGACCCAAAUCUAAUCUGAUUGGAAUUAGAUCACGUGGAUCUUGAGUCAAAUCUGAUUCAUUGUCAUCCCUAAUUCUAUAAAGAGUGAUGAUACAGUCACAAACUCUUGUACAAACUAAUGUGGCAUUAAUUCAUUAGUUGAAUGAAAAUAUAAAAUAAUAGAAAUAAAUCAUGUGGGCCAAAAGAUAUUUAAUUCAACCAAUUUUAUCAUGCCACAUCAGUUUGUACAAAAUAAGUUUGUAUAAGAGUUUAUGGCUAUACAGACAUUUAUAUUAGAAAAGAAGCGUAAAUUCUCGUUUAGUCCCUAUAUCUUAAUUUAAGGGUCUGUUUAUUCUCUAUAUUUCAAAAAAUAUCUCAAGACACCCUUAUUGUAAAGUAUGUUACACUCCCACCCUCACUUUGCUUUCCUUUUAUAAAAACAUGCUUACAAAAUUCUUGCCUUCUCGAGAAUAUUAAUGAAGAGAAUAAAUGUUAAUUUAUCAAAUUAACAAUAAAGCUAACAUAAAACUUUUCAUGUUAUUAUUAUACUUUUAAGAUUAAUUUGUUAAAUUAAUUUUUUAUACAAUAACUAUUAAUAAAAUUGUUGCAAGAAUAUUAUAUAUUGUUUUAAGUUAGUUGAUAUUAGCUUUUACUAUAAAUAAAUUAUUAGCAAGACUAUUGUAUGGAUACAAAAAAUAUUAAUUCUUUCAUACUGAUAUUUAUUGGCUAAUUUAUUAAUAAAUAAUUUUUGUUUAAUUUUCUAAUUAAAUUUUAUAGAUAAAUUAGUUAAUGUGAAUAAUAUUAUUACAAGGCUUUUAUUAUAUAAGUAAAAGCAAGUGUAAGAAUGUAAUAUAUUUAAUUACAAGGGUAUUAGAAGUAUUUUUUUAAAUCUAGAGACUAAAUAGGUAUUUAAGUCAAAAUAUAAAUAUUCAACCAGUAUUUACCUAACUUAAAAGUAUUGCAAUUGUAACAUUAGUCUUUUGAGGCAAAUUGGAGUCCUAUGAUUCUAUGAAUAAUGAUAGUAUGCACUUUAGACUAUCGUAAUUUAAAAGUUCUACUUGCCAAAAAUUUUAGUCAAUAAAUUGUUUGAGUUUAUUGGAAAUCCUGGACUAGGGAUGGCAAUAGAUUGGAUCUAACCUAAGAUCCAUGUGAUCCAAAAUUCAAUCCGAUUGGAUUUGGGUCGAUUUAAAAUGUAUUUUGAUCGAAUUUAGAUAUCGAACUGUGGAUCUAAGAUGGAUCUGGAGCAUGUCUGGAUCUAUUUUAAUAUUUAGAUUUAUAUCCAUAUUCACCUAUCUUUUAAUUUUAUUUUAAAAAUUUCUUAACAAUUGUGUAAUCAUAAAUGAUAAUAAAUUUCAUUCAUAUUAUAUUAGACUUAUUAGUGGUAUUUACCAUGUAUUUAAAAUCUUAAAACUUAAAUGUUAGUUUUGUAAAUUUAAAUGAUAAUAAGACAAAAAUAAUUAAGGUCAACUAGUCCUAAAGCAUGCACAUGCAAUAUUUCAAUUGCAAGUCAAGUAAUAAUGCAUGGCAAUUUAUUUUAUUAUAUUGGCCAAAUAAUUUUUAAGGAAUAUAGUUAUUCAUAUAUUUAGUUAAAUAUGGUCAUAAUAAUAAAAAAAAGCAUUGAAUAUAAAUUAUAUUUAAUUUAUAUGUCAUUAUCUAUUUUGUUGGAAUGAUGGUGGGUCAGAAUGAUGAAGGAGAUAGUAAAAUAUAUUAGAUUGAUUUAUUCCUUUAAUCACUUUUGAAGGAUAUUUUAUUAUCUUUGUUAUUUACGUGUUUUUGUGUAUAAGUAUAAACUAUAACAUUUGUUAUAUUUUUGAGACAAAUUAUGUAACUUAAUUGUUAUCAAUACAUUUUAGUCUUUAAUUUUCAUUUUAAAAAGUUGUUACUCUUUUAUUGUUAAGUUUUAUAAUUCAUGAUGGAUAUAGAGAAGAUUUGAUUUUUUUUUUUUUUUGGAUUUAGAGCAGAUAUAGAUAUUUAUUUCUUGUUUGGAUCUGGAUGAGUGAAAAAUGCAAAUCUAUGAUAGAUCUGGAGUAGAUACGGAUCUGAAUCUGGAGUAGAGUAGAUCCAACCUAUAUUUACCCCAUUGCCAUCCCUAUAUAGAAUACGGACGCACCAUUUACAACUUUACAAUUAGGGAUGGCAAAAAUCCCCACGGGGACGGGUAUCCUCGGGGAUUUUCCCAAUUCGGGGAGGGUAUGAGGAUAAUUUCAUACCCAAUUUCUUAUUCGGGGAGGGGACGGGGAUGAGGUGGAAUCCCCAUCCCCUACCCAUUUCCCCAUUUUAAUUUUUAAUUUAAUUUUAAUUUUUUAAAAUUACUAGUAAAUAAAUAAUAAAAUUUAAAUUAUAAAAUUAUAAAUAUUGGUAAAAAUAAAAAAUAUCAAAAUAUUUAUAUUAUUAAACUUUUAGGUCUAAUUAACUAAUUAAAGUCCUAAAUUUUUAUUUAGGACAUUAAAAAGAUCGAGUAGAUUCUAUUAGCCAAAUAUUUUUUUAAAUUUUAAUAUUCUUUAAAUAUUUUAAAUUUAAAUAUAUUUUUUAUUUAUUUUUAGAUGUUAUAAUUGCCCACAGCGAAUCACAAUUUUAAUAUCUAAUCUAAUCUAAUAUUUGCUUUUGAUUUGCUCCGAUUUAACUAUUGUGUUGUAAAGGGAAUAGUCCACAUUUAUAAAGUGUCCACGCCACCAUUGAAAAAGUUAAUUUUGAAUCUAAAUUCGAUUUUAUUUGUAAUAAUUUUGUAUUAAACUAUUAAUUUGUUCAUGAUAGUUUGUAAAAGAAGUUUGUAUUCCUUGCAUGUUGCGUUACUUACUAAUUUAAUGUAUUUGACUUUUGUAAUAGAUAUUAAUGUAAGAUAUAUUUCGAAUUUUACUUUUAUUUGAAUUUUUUAUUUUAAUAUGAUUAACUCAAAAUUGAAAGAAAAAUGUAUUAGUUAUUCGGGGAUCGGGGACCCUCGGGGAUCCCCUGUUAUUAUUCGGGGAGGGGAUGAGAAUUCUCUCAAGUAAUUCUGACGGGGACGGGGACAUACGCAAAAUAUCGGGGAUGGGCACGGGGAGAUCGGUCCCCUCCCCUCCCCUCCCCAUUGCCAUCCCUAUUUACAAUGUUGUAAAUGAUUUUUUUUUUUUUUACGCAUUUACAAUGUUGUAAAACGCUUUACAAUACUGAUUUUAUGCCAUAACCGACUUAAAUUUAUUAUUUAAUCAUUAUGACCUCCAUCAAAACAAAAGCUUAAUUUUACCACUUACUAAGAGUACUAAACACUUUCCUAUUAAAGGAGGCCAUGAGAAAAAAAUUUAGGCAAGUCACCAUAUUUUCAUAGUGAGAUUUCCAAAUUUAAAUUUGACGAGCAUGAGACAGUAAUGGUUUUUUUUUUUUUUUUUUUUGGGAUAAGAUGAGAAAAUAAUGGUUGGACUCCCAACUUGCAAUUCAAAUUGAAUUGGACGGUCCCAUUCCUCUCUCGGCACUUGUCAAAGUUAACUCGAUCAGUUUAACGUAAGUUUUCCUCAACAUAUUUGUUUGUAUAGUCAACUGUACAUUGCCCAAUUACGAGAGAGAGAGAAAGGAUUUCUCUUUAUGUGACAACAGAUGUCUAAGUGUUUUUGCUACUAGUUUGAUAAUUCAUGGAUUCAGAAGUGCCAAUAAGUAGUAUAACUAUAUACUAUAUCAAGAAAAAUUAUUGUAUAGCUGGAAUUUUAUUUGUGAGCGACACUCAUUUAUUAUCUUUGACUUGAAUUGAUCUUUUUUCAACUUUGACUCGACUACAAAAUAUUGAUUACUUUUAUACUUAAAACGUAUUUACUUAUAAUGUAACCUGGCGGAUCGAUGUCAAACAUACAGAAAAUCUAAAAAUCUAUUAGUCAGUUAUUAAAUAAAAAUUAAUUGUUGAAAGUGAAAUUAAUAAGGAACAAUCUAAAAAAGUGCUAAGAUUACGGGAUCCACUCUCAAUUUUCAAAUUAUGAUUAUAAUACUCUAUUAUAUUUAUAUUUUGUAUUUUUUUUACUAAUUAAUUAUUAUGCCAUUUAAUGCUUAACUAACUAUUUGUAUAGAUAAAUAUGAGAUUGUGUACAUAAUGUGCCAGAGUUAUCCUGAAGUGUCAAAAUACCAUAUAGAUUCAAAGGAGAAUUAUAUUUGUAAAUUAACAUGACACAAAAGUAAUUGGCAAAAAGGAAUAUAAAUUAUCAACAUGUAAUAAAUAAAAUAAACUUAAAACAUACUUGAGGGGGUAAUUUAUUCUAUGAUCUAAAUUUUUGAGGUUCACCUUUAAGCUUAUCUUAGAAAAUUAACCACUCAUGUUUUGAAGCAAAAAUACUCAUUUAUUUUAAUAAAUUUGUAAAGUACAAUACAAGAAAAUUGAAAAUAAAAGGAAAAGAUAAGAGAUUUAUUUUCCCUAAAAUUAUAAUUAGUAUGCAUUAAUAUAAUAUAUUCUAAGUAUGCUGCCGUAAUCAUACCCCGAGGCUUGGUCAGCAUGAACUCUGUAAAAUAUACCCCAAUGUGUAUGUGAUUCAGUCAGAGGAUUCCAGGUAUAUCUUCUUAUGUGUUUGUAUUAUUGAUUUUCUUUUUACUUUACUUUCCGGAUUUAAUUCUGUAAUGAAACAGAAAUAUGGAUUACUACCUUUGCUUGUUAAUGCUUAGCAGAGAAUAUUUUCUGUACGCCAAGCCAGUGCCUAUGAAAGGGCAUCAUCACUGGCUUAAGAUAAUAAUUGUGAUCUCAAAGUUUCUCUAUUUGCCUUGUAGUAUGAUAUGGAGUUCGUUUACUGCUUACUCUUUUUAGCUAUCUAAGGUUCUUAUUUUUUGUUGAAGGGGUGAAGCUCAAAUCUGGAUUUGGGAAUGUAUAUGAUGUGUCAGGUGCUUGAGGAAGAGAGUAACGACUUUGUCAGUCGUUGUAAUUCAGAGGAGCUGUAUGACAGAGCUGCUAUGUCGGCUGGUUGAAUUAGUAACACACGUGGUUCAUCACGUGUUUCACUGAUCCAAACGACAGCCGCAUCUGCGUUUUAAGUAGCAGGUUAUACGAGCAUUUGACAAGUGUCCUUGAGCAGUUCAAGAAGCUGUUAAUUCAGUUAAUUCACGCGGGAUGCAGCUGGGGUUGCUUAGCUGGGAAACCCAGAAGCGUGAGCUGAUUGCUUGGGGUAUUUCUAGAUGAUUCUGAUUGAGAUAUAAAAGGCCCUAUGAUCUGUUACUGGGGGAAUCUGUUGGGUUACACUUACUCUUCAUCUUUGUAACUUGUAAUCUCUGAAAUCAGUGAAGGCUUGCUUCUCUUUUCACAGUGGAUGUAGGCAAGAAAAUGGCCGAACCACUAUAAAUCUUGGUGCAGUGCGUGUGAUCUGUUUUCUGUCUUUUCUGCUUUUGCUUUCGGUUUGUGAUGGAUUCCAGUUAUCAAGACAAAUUUCUUCUCAAACUCAGUAUAGUGUCAAACCUAGUUAAAGAUCAAGUCUCUUAGAGUGGAUCUUGGGGGUUCCAAAUUGAUCUUGGUAGUUAAUUUGGUUCCAACAUUUUUCUUAGUUUAUUCUCAAGUGGGAGAACCGUGUUUCAGACAAGAGGUAUUCAUACAAUGAUUUGAGACCGGGGAAUAUCGAAGCAUGAUUUUGUAUUUUAUUAAGAUCGACUUAAUUACUCGGCUGGUAAAUUCUGUCUCCAUUGCUUAGCUGAAAUUCAUUACUAUAUGCGCGCGCAUGUGCUUGUUUGUGUUGAGAUCAGGGUUCAGACAUGCUGAAAAAUGUUAUUGUUUCCUUUAUUUUGACUUUUAGGUUUUGGAACAUGGCCUUGGCCAUUUGCCAUUCACUGAGAAGCAAGUAGCCACUCCAAAAGGCGUGCUAGGAAUAAUCAAUAGAAAGGCUUUAGCUCAUUUCUGCUAUUCAGUGCAUUAACUUUGUGAAAAUGCGUGUGCCUCUACUAUUGGCUUGCCAAUGUGUUGAUCUUCUAGAAUUUAGAACUCUCGCUCUCUCCCUCCUGUUUAUUGCUACUUCUGACCAUGCAGUAUUUGUGUUGAUUAACCUGGUAUAUUUGCUUGUUAUCAGUUCAAAUUAUCAAUUGUCUUGUUUCAUCUUACAUUAGUUUGGCCUAAAAUUAAUAACUCUGAAAAAUUUCUGUUAUUUUACAUCAGUGUCGAUGUGUACUGGGGUUGCUUUUUGCAAGAAGCUAUGUAGGGUUUCCAUUGUUCGAAGGUGAGGUCUCAGCCUCUCACUGAGGUUUUGUUUUCUCGGUUAGUUGGAUGGCAUUUAUACUUGAAUUUAGAGUGGUGGUGCCAAUUUCAAUCUUAUGACUCUGACGAAUCCUAAAGUCUGAUCUUCAGCAUCUGAUGCUGGAUGGCAUAGAGCUUUAUAGAGGAAUUUGCUACUGCGCAUUAUAGUUUAGUGGGUUGCCUUUUUUUGUUUUUGUUUUUGUUUUGAUAUAUGCUAAAAUGUUUCUAUUGUGAUGUUAAGUGGCGAAAGCAUGGAAAAUACAUUGCGUGCAUGGUGCAAAGGAAAAAGAAAUGGAAAAAUUCUGAUUCACCGUGAUGGGUACAAUGGCAAACAGGUAACAAUAUAAUUCGUUGUAGAAAAGAUUUUCUAGAAAGAGAGGUUUCCCUUUUUGUUCCUAUAUGAAUAAAUUGAAUUAAUUUUAAUAAUGCAUUAUUGGUUUCAAUAUAAUCAGCUUAUCUAUGAGAAGCUGCCCAAUGAUAUUUCAGAAAGACAAGUCCUGCUUCUAGAUCCUGUUCUUGCCACAGGUAAUCUUGAUGUUCUUUCACACUUUCUAUUUUCUUGGUAUCUGCCAAUAAUUUGCUAUGCUGUAGUCAUAUCUCUUUCCACCUCUUCUGAUAAAGAGGCUCAUUUUUGAAACAGAAGGAAUUCAAGAAAGCGAGAAAUGGAAUGUCAUAAACUAAUUUAUUUGUUGAAAAAUAUUUGAGACUGCUGUUUGAUGACUGGAGGGGCUGAUCCACUCUAUAUUGAAUAAAGCCGUCAUUUUCACGUUUUUUUUCCGAAACAUCAUCAAUUGGUUAGUUAAAAUUGUGCUUUUUAGAAGUUACCUUGAAACUGUAUCUUCUCUUAAAUACUAAUAAUAAAGGAAGGUGAUUGCACACAAGCUAUUGAUUUACCGAUAAAUGAGUCACCUAUCUUUCUGAACCAGAGAUAAAGGGCAAUACGAUGCUCGCGUGCAUUUCUUAACUUUUAGUAGCAUCCUCUGUGCCUGCCGGCUGGAUCAUUGUAUGAUGGACAUUAUUUACCUGGGUUGAUAAUCAAAACCAUUCUUGAUUGCUUUCCUUAUAGGGAACUCUGCCAACCGAGCUAUUCAACUACUCAUAGAGAAAGGAUUUCCAGAAUCCCAAUUUACAUUCCUGAAUCUCAUCUCUGUAAGUGGUUCCCAUAAUUGGUUAUGGUACGUCCUUCAUGUAAUGUACUAAUCUUAUGAUUUAACUUCAGGCUCCAGAGGGAAUCCAAUGUGUAUGCAAACGUUUUCCAUCCCUGAAAAUUGUCACUUCAGAGAUUGAUGUUGCUUAGAAUUAAGAAUUCCUUGUAAUACCCGGUAUGGGAGAGUUUGGCGACUGUUACUUUGGCACUGAUGAUUGAUAUGGUGAAGAUCAAGUAGUGGAGAUUGUUACCUAUUAUCAAAUGGGGUGAUUUCCCCAGAAAUAACAAAAAUCAAUGUUUUGAAAUCCGAGGGAAGCACGUUUCCUGAAACACCAAAAAUAAACAAAGAAGAAAAAAGUCUGAGAGGAGACCACCCCUGCAGUAUAUAAAUCAAUGAUUGUUCUCAUUUUUCUUUUCACUAGUUUUUGUUUGCACAGAUGCAAUAUUCUCCAAUAAUGUGCUACGAUAUGUUGUCUUUUUCAAGUUUCAAUUGGAGCUUUCAUAUUCCAUGAACUGCUUUCCUCAUGUGUUGCCUUGAUGGCAAAUAUUCAAAAAAAGAAGCCAUCAAUCCUCGAAAUGCCAUGAAAAUAAUGGAAAUGAGAAUGCUAAUAGACACGACAUUAGAUAUUAGUACUAUCUGUAGUCUACUACCUCUUGUGAUUCAAUUGUAUUCACAUGGGUGUCCAGAACCCAAUUGUAUCGAUUGAGCCGCAGUGUAUUGUAGCUCAAAUGAAGUCUCAGUGGCAAAAAAAAAAAAAAAAAAAAAAAAAAAAAAAAAAUUACAUGAGUUUGUUUUAUCCUCCUUUUGUGUUCGUUCAGAAGUUAUGAUGAUUAGUAUCUAUGGCCCAACCUGAAAUAGCUGCUUUAUUGCAUUACAAGGGAUGUUUCUUUUAUAUACAGGCAACAUUGAGAACUAAAUAUAAGUGUAGCAAGACAAAGCAUCGAUUAGGUCUAUUCUCUUUGGAAGACGAGCAACAUUAGCCUGUUUUUUAUUUUGUCAACAAAUCCAAAAUAGGAAAGCCGCCAAGACUUUUUCAUCGCUAAAGUUCCGCAAACUCCCCAAAACCCCACUAUAAAACCUACUGCUAUGCUGCUAUAAAACAACAACUUGUCGAAGUCAUCUCCAUCUUCAUCAUCUCCUUCGGUGAAAUCAGAUGUUUCCUUGUCUUUAUUGCACUUGUUGGGUAGUGGAGAUCCACAAAGUGCAGGGUUGCCCACAUAAAUGGAUGGAUCGUUGAGGCUCUGGAAUUGAUUGUUUGAUGGGAUUUCACCAGAAAGAUUGUUGUCUGACAGGUUCAAGUGUGCCAGAAAAGUUGAAAAAGUCAAGUUAGGCGGAAUUGCUCCAGAAAGUUGAUUUUUGGAGAGGUCUAGAGUUUCCAAUCUUCCUAAGCUCCCGAUGCUGUCUGGUAUUUUCCCUGUCAAGUGGUUCAUGGACAAGUUCAAAAUGACAAGUCUUGAAAGAUUUGUCAGAUCAGGUAUCUCCCCUGAUAAGCUGUUGUAACCAAGGUCAAUGCUGUUCACUAGAUAAAGAGUUGACUCAUACCAGUAUUCUGUUCCUUUGGUUGUCACCAAAACAUUCCCCUCAUAUCUUUCAGAGUCCAUAUCCGAUGCCAUACCAGUCAAGUUCCCGAGACACGAGGGAAUUGAUCUGGAUAAAUUAUUAUGUGCAAGGUCCAACAUGUGAAGAGAGGAAAGACUGCAUAGCUGUGAGGGAAUGUCUCCAUAAAAAAUGUUUGAUCGCAGACGUAAAAUCCAUAGAGACGUGCUUUUCCCAAGCCAUGCUGGAAUGUUAUCUGAAAGCUUAUUGUCUCCAAGAUCAAGAGUACGAAUGGUUGUGCAAUUCUGCAAGGUUGAAGGGAUUUCCCCGGACAGACGAUUGUUGCUCAGCAUUAAGAACCUAAGAAACCGCAGAGAACCCAGGGAACUUGGUAUCUCGCCAGAUAAGCUGUUGUUUGACAUGUCCACGGCAUACAAAAAUGGCAAACCAUUCCAAAAUUCCGGAAUAUGUCCCGUCAAAUUGUUGUUGGAGAUUGAAAGAGUGGUAAGAGAACUUAGUCUUCCAAUGGACAAAGGAACGGUACCAUUAAGGAGGUUGUGGGAGAUAUCCAUAUCUGUUAACAGGGGCAUCCUUUCACCAAUAUCUGAAGGAAUUGGUCCUGAAAAAGAAUUGUUGCUCAAAUAUAGGGAACUCACAUUGGAAGACCACAGCGGAAAAGGACCCGAAAAUAGGUUCCAGUUUAAGUAAACAUUAGACUGAGGAAGAAACUUCAAGGAAUUUGGAACUCUGCCACUUAUCUGAUUAUAACCGAGAUCAAGCUCAUACAAUGAUAAAUCCAACUGCCAAAACCAUUCUGGUAUGGUGUCUGAAAUUUGAGUAUUUCUGAGUACGAAAGUUUGCAGCUUAUUCUGGUUUCUCAGCCAAGCAGGGAAUUUGGGGCCCAAUUGACAUGAUCUCAGCCUCAUGUAUCGGAGUUUAAAAGGAGGAACCCAUUCGGGACUCACAUUAAACACCAAUGUAAGUCGUGCUGCUAAGGAAGACUUGGCAAUAUGCAGUUCCUUUAAGUUCUUGAGCUUCAAAAAAUGAGCUUCUGUCACCACCCCAAUCCAUGGAUUCCCGGAAAUAUCUAAGACAACAAGAUGAGAUAAUUUCCCCAAACUUUCUGGAAUUGUGCCAUCCAUUUGGUUAUUGUGGAGAUAAAGUUCUCUCAAGGAUGACAAGUUCCCAAUGGACUCCGGGAUUGAACCCCGGAACAAGUUUCCCCACAGUUGAAGAAUCUUGAGGUUUUCCAAUUGUCCGAGAGAAUUGGGAAGAAAUCCACCCAGGUUAUUUUGCCCCAAAUCCAGUGACUCUAAGCUACUAUUGGUACAUUUAGACAAACGAUCUACGAAUUCAAUUAUCUCACCAUCCAAGUCAUUACUAGAAAGAUCAAGAUCCCGCAAGCUGCACAGACUUCCCAAAUCUUUC
rnacentral:lncRNA from 1 species